UCAGGCCUAACACAUGCAAGUCGUACGAGGUGUAAAUAAUUCACUUGUGAAUUGUUUAUUACUACAGUGGCGCACGGGUGAGUAACACGUAAGAACCUGCCUUUUGGAGGGGGAUAACAUAGGGAAACCUUUGCUAAUACCCCAUAAAGCUGAGGAGCUAAAUCGCAUUUGCGGCCAAGAGAGGGGCUUGCGCCUGAUUAGCUAGUUGGGGAGGUAAUGGCUUCCCAAGGCCACGAUCAGUAGUUGGUCUGAGAGGAUGAUCAGCCACACUGGGACUGAGACACGGCCCAGACUCCUACGGGAGGCAGCAGUGAGGAAUUUUCCGCAAUGGGCGAAAGCCUGACGGAGCAAUACCGCGUGAAGGAAGAAGGAUCGUGGUCUGUAAACUUCUUUUCUAGAGAAGAAGAU
rnacentral:rRNA from 1 species